AGAUAAUAGAUACCCUGGUAGUCCUGGCCUUAAACGAUGGAUGCUUGGUGUCUGGAGUUUUAUAGUCUCCGGGUGCCGUAGCUAACGCGUUAAGCAUCCCGCCUGGGGAGUACGGUCGCAAGACUGAAACUCAAAGGAAUUGACGGGGGACCCGCACAAGCGGUGGAGCAUGUGGUUCAAUUCGACGCAACGCGAAGAACCUUACCUGGGCUAGAAUGCCUGUGACACCCGUAGAGAUACGGUCUCCUAGGGAAACCUAGGCACAGUGCAAGGUGCUGCAUGGCUGUCGUCAGUUCGUGUCGUGAGAUGUUGGGUUAAGUCCCGCAACGAGCGCAACCCUUAUCGAUAGUUGCUAGCGGUUCGGCCGAGCACUCUAUUGAGACUGCCGUUGACAAAACGGAGGAAGGUGGGGAUGACGUCAAGUCCUCAUGGCCUUUAUGUCCAGGGCUACACACGUGCUACAAUGGCAAGUACAAAGCGCUGCAAACUCGCGAGAGGGGAGCCAAUCGCAAAAACGCUUGUCUCA
rnacentral:rRNA from 1 species